GAUGAACGCUGACAGAAUGCUUAACACAUGCAAGUCGAUGGGGAAGUGGUGCUUGCACCAUGGUAACCAUGGCGGACGGGUGAGUAACGCGUAAGGAACUUACCUGCGGGACCGGGAUAACAGCAGGAAACUGCUGACAAGACCGGAUAAGGUCAUUAAGCUGCAUAGCUUAGUGAUGAAAGGAGACGCCUGCGGAGAGCCUUGCGUCCUAUUAGCUAGUUGGAGGGGUAACGGCCCACCAAGGCGAAGAUAGGUAGCCGGCCUGAGAGGGUGGACGGCCAAAAGGGGACUGAGACACGGCCCUUACUUCUACGGGAGGGAGCAGUGGGGAAUAUUAGACAAGGGGGGCAACUCUGAUCCAGCAAUUCUGUGCACGAAGACGGUUUUCGGAUUGUAAAGUGCUUUCAGCAGGGAAGAAGGAAGUGACGGUACCUGCAGAAGAAGCGACGGCUAAAUACGUG
rnacentral:rRNA from 1 species